rnacentral:rRNA from 1 species
AGCUCCAAUAGCGUAUAUUAAAGUUGUUGCAGUUAAAAAGCUCGUAGUUGAAACUUGGGCUGGGAGACGGGUCACUCGCAAGAGCGUACUCGCUGUCCCUGCCCUUUCUUCGGUGGGUGCCGUUCGCAAGAUGGCCACUUUGCCGAGUUUUACUUUGAAGAAAUUAGAGUGUUCAAAGCAGGCUUACGCUUGUAUACAUCAGCAUGGAAUAAUAAAAUAGGAUUUUGGUUCUAUUUUGUUGGUUUGAGGACCAAAGUAAUGAUUAAUAGGGACAGUUGGGGGCAUUAGUAUUUGACGGUCAGAGGUGAAAUUCUUGGAUUCGUCAAAGACUAACUAGUGCGAAAGCAUUUGCCAAGGAUGUUUUCAUUA